rnacentral:lncRNA from 13 species
AGGACGUACCAGGGUGACCAUUUGGGGGUCACCUCCUCCCUCCCCCUUCUUUCCCUUCUCAGCUUCCAAGGCUUGGAAAUUUGGAGAUUUGGAAGUUUGUUCUUGGAUGGCCAGAAAUCCUCCGGACGCAAGCGGUCCAGAGCUGCAACAGCCACAGGCCGGAAAGGUGCGGGCGUGAACGUCCUGCGCGCCGACGUACCCCCGCGCCCGGCUCCCCUCAACCCCCCGCUCCUCCUUCCCUCGAUCCUCCCGCUCCCCUCCUCCGCGUCCCUGUCCCCGCCCCCCUCCCGCUCUCCCAUUGGCCGAGCCAGCGGCCGGGCCGCCCCGGGAUUUAAAGGGCCCGCUCGCCGAGCCGCCCUGGGAGCCGCUGCUGGUCCCGGCCUUGCGGCCUGCGGGGUAGGCUGCCCGGAGGAGGCGGCGGCGGCGGCAGCGCGUCUUCGGUCCCCAGGACCACGGGCUUCUUUCCUGCCAGCCCCCGGACCUGGGCAGGACUUUGUUGGCGGCCUCUCGCCGGAGC